rnacentral:rRNA from 1 species
UAAUACGUAGGGUGCGAGCGUUAAUCGGAAUUACUGGGCGUAAAGCGUGCGUAGGCGGCGGCUUGUGUCAGGUGUGAAAGCCCCGGGCUUAACCUGGGAAUUGCGCUUGAAACUAGGUCGCUAGAGUUCAUUAGAGGGGGGUGGAAUUCCAGGUGUAGCAGUGAAAUGCGUAGAGAUCUGGAGGAACACCGAUGGCGAAGGCAGCCCCCUGGGGUGAAACUGACGCUCAGGCACGAAAGCGUGGGGAGCAAACAGGAUUAGAUACCCUGGUAGUCCACGCCCUAAACGAUGUCAACUAGUUGUUGGGAGAAUUUAAUCUCCCAGUAACACAGCUAACGCGUGAAGUUGACCGCCUGGGGAGUACGGCCGCAAGGUUA